UCUCCGUUGGUGAACCAGCGGAGGGAUCAUUACUGAGUUACCGCUCUACAACCCUUUGUGAACAUACCUAACUGUUGCUUGGGCGGGCAGAGGUCCCUCGCGGAUCCCCCCCGGCAACGCCCUCACGGGCGUAGCGCCCGCCUGAGGAUACCAAACUCUAUUUUAACGACGUUUCUUCUGAGUGGCCCACUCAACUAAUUAAAACUUUUAACAACGGAUCUCUUGGUUCUG
rnacentral:misc_RNA from 1 species